rnacentral:miRNA from 1 species
AUGGAGAUUAUUACAAGAUUUAAGAGCCAUAAUAACCAUCUCAUUAUUAAUGGCUCUUAAAUCUUGCAAUAAUCUCCAU